UACAGAGACCUCAAGCGUUAUCCGGAAUCAUUGGGCGUAAAGCGUGCCGAUAGGUGGUUUUAUUAGUCUUGUGUAAAAGCCAGAAGCUUAACUUCUGAGUUUGCUUAAGAUACUGUAAGACUAGAGGGGCAAAGAGGUGCUUGGAACGAAUGGUGUAGUAGUGAAAUGCGUUGAUAUCAUUCGGAACACCGAAAGCGAAGGCAGAGCACUGGGUGCCACCUGACACUGCUAGGACGAAAGCGUGGGGAGCGAAUGGG
rnacentral:rRNA from 1 species